GGGGAUGUAGCUCAGUGGUAGAGCGCACGCUUCGCAUGUGUGACGCCCCGGGUUCAAUCCCCGGAACCUCCA
rfam:Ciona savignyi cont_19708, whole genome shotgun sequence.